GGACAAAAGCGUGGGAUUUAAAGCUGUGAGUGGCAACUGGCAGAAAGAUAGUCUGUUUGCAGGGAUAAGUGAGGCUGAUAGGACAGCUUAGGGAACAGUUAUAGAGGAUCCCGAAGAGUUUUGUCAGCUGGCCGAUGUUGAGGUUCACCACAUAAUGGAAACACUGCUUAGCAUUUCCCAUAACUCACAUCAAAUGGAGAAGUUUGAAAUAUUUACUGUACUGUAAUUCAAUUAUUAACUGAGGAAAUGUAUAUGUGUAUGUAUAUACGUAUAUAUAAUCUUGAGUGGGAUGUACUUAUUUGUAUCUCCCACCCUCAAAAAACACAAUUCUAUGCAUAUCUUGGGAUUUCAAUGCAUAUAUAACCAAGUAUAUGAAUAAUAUUUUGAUACAGAAGAAAACAAUGCUGAAAAACAGUGCAACCAAAACCAUUUUCGAAACCCAGCACAGUGCCUGCCUCCCGGUACCCGCCAGUGACGCUUUCCUCACUCGAUCGGGGAUAACCACAACAAGUAACAGUGCUUUGAAGAGCCAGCUGGUACUCUUACCCUGGGAAAAUGUCCAAGGCCACGAGAUGGGAAAGAGCUUCGAGUCAGAAUGAUAGAUUCAGGUGCCAUCACUCGAGACCACAGGAUGCUUUUUGACAACUCCAGACCACCCUGGUCCCUGGACCCUGAAAUCCCACACAAGAAGAAUCUGACCUAGGACACCAUAACUGCAGAAUACCUCGAUAAAAGCAAUUGAAGACUCAGUGGGAUCCAGCCGUAAGGCCGGUGGAUGCCUCGGUGUUGAAGACAAUGCCUCUUCAUCUUGAAAGAUUUGGUGAAUGCCUAUUCUGUGUCAACAAACUCCAUAUUCACUCACCUACUCACUCACCGGAUUCAUUAAUUGUCAGAUGCUGUGUUAGUCACUUUAAUAUGAAAGUCACUCUGUUCUUUUAACCAGCAGUAACUGAGAACUUCCUCUAUUCAAGAUAGUACUUGCUUUAGAAAAAAAAAUAUAAAAACAUUAAGGAGUGACCAAUGCUUACAAGAUCCUCACAGUUCAGUAGAAGAGAUAGGGCUCUAAAUAAAUUCUUAAUAGUAACUAGCAUUUCUGUAGUAAUUCCUAGGUGCUAGGAGCCAUUAUAUGUCCCUUACAUGCACUAGUUCAUUUACUCCCUGCAAUAGCCAGGUAGUAGUAAGUACUAUUAAUAUUCCCAUAUUCUAAAUGACAGAGCUGAGAUAUAAAGAUGAAAUGAUCCGCUCAAGGCCAUACAGCUCCUGAUGGCAGAGCUGGGAGUCAGGCCCAGGAUGUGCAACUCCAGUGUUUGUACCUUCAUAUUUUUCUGUGUGUGGUGUAGUUAAUGUUUUAAUAUUGGCGGGAUUACAGAGGAAGGAGCGAUCUCUUCUGCUGGGAGUAGAGAUGGGGAUGACAGAAGAUUUGCCAAGAAUUGUGUUUGAGUUGCCUGCAUAGGUGUGCAAUGCUUGUCAGCUUGAUGUGCAGACUGGCUCUGAGCUGGACCCUGCUCCUCCUCAGACCUCCUUCUCCCUUGACAGGGGAGAAUGACCUGACAAACUCAAGAAGCAAGCCAAUUUGGUUACUAAGCCCAGGAUAAUUCAGAUGUGAAACAGAUUAAACUCAUUUGCAAUUACCAGACCUGUCCUCUUUGGGGGGAGCAUUAGAACCUCUUAGCAAUUCAGUUCAGUGAGUAUUGGCAUUGUGUUGGAUCACUGCCCUUGCAUGGCUUGCAUGCUAUCUAGAAGAAAAGUGUGUGAUUAAUGGCAAAUAGGCUUGCAUUUUUUUCUCUCUCAGUGUUUUGUUGUCCCUGUCCUCCCAUUAUCAGUCUAGGGUUCUCAUCAGAACAGUGAAAUAUCAGUGCCUAGAAGUAGGAAGUAAAUAGAGGCUGAACAGCCACAAAAUGAUUUACAAGAGAAGGUGCUGAGAAAGCAUAGAGGUACACAGUGUCUUCUGUAAAAAUGAUAGGAUUCAGAGUUGGUGGCCGGGGCUGGAAGGCUGCUCGGGCACUAACUAGAUGUAUUUCUCCAGCAUGCUUCCUCAUCCCAUUGGGUCUUUGUUUCCCUCAUUAUAAUUAUUAUUAUUUUAUUAUUAUCAAUAUUGUUAUUAUUGGAAUAAUAAUACCUGGGUUGCAGAAUUGCUGAGAAACACAAAAUAAAUACUGUAUGUGAAACCACUAGACCCAAGUUAGGUAUUAGUGGUCAA